rnacentral:tRNA from 1 species
GUAUUAGCGGUUCAUUGGUAGAAUUCUUGCCUUCCAUGCAGGAGACCGAGGUUUGAUUCCUGGCCAAUGCA